GUCUAGUAUAGCAACUUAUAUUGUGAAACUGCGAAUGGCUCAUUAAAUCAGUUAUAGUUUAUUUGAUGGUGACUUGCUACAUGGAUAACUGUGGUAAAUCUARAGCUAAUACAUGCAAUCAAGCCCCGACUUCUGGGAGGGGUGUAUUUAUUAGAUAAAAACCAACCGCUUCGGCGACCCUUGGUGAAUCAUGAUAACUUUUCUAAUCGCAUGGCCUUGCGCCRGCGAUGCUUCAUUCAAAUAUCUGCCCUAUCAACUGUCGAUGGUAGGAUAGAGGCCUACCAUGGUUGCAACGGGUAACGGGGAAUAAGGGUUCGAUUCCGGAGAGGGAGCCUGAGAAACGGCUACCACAUCCAAGGAAGGCAGCAGGCGCGCAAAUUACCCAAUCCCGACACGGGGAGGUAGUGACAAUACAUAACAAUCUGGAGCUUUUUAAAGGUUCUGGAAUUGGAAUGAGUACAAUUUAAAUCCCUUAACGAGGAACAAUUGGAGGGCAAGUCUGGUGCCAGCAGCCGCGGUAAUUCCAGCUCCAAUAGCGUAUAUUAAAGUUGUUGCAGUUAAAAAGCUCGUAGUUGAAUUUCGGGUGUGCACGGUGCUGUCCUCUUCACUGAGCGAUUGGUGCGGUGCUGCCCUAACCUUGUGGUGAUGCGUGCGCGGUGGUUUGCGCUGCUGCGUGCGUGGAACCAUGAACUGUUACCUUGAAAAAAUUAGAGUGUUCAAAGCAGGCUAUGAUGCCGGAAUACAUUAGCAUGGAAUAAUGAAAUAGGACGUGCGGACCUAUUUUGUUGGUUUCUAGGAGCCGCCGUAAUGAUUAAUAGGGAUAGCCGGGGGCAUYUGUAUUCAAUGGCAAGGGGUGAAAUCCUUGGAUUCAUUGAAGACAAACUUCUKCGAAAGCAUUUGCCAAGGAUGUUUUCAUUAAUCAAGAACGAAGGUGAGGGGAUCGAAAACGAUUAGAUACCGUUGUAGUCUUCACAGUAAACUAUGCCGACUAGGGAUCGGUCGACGUUCAUAUAUAUUUGACUCGAUCGGCACCUUGCGAGAAAUCAAAGUCU
rnacentral:rRNA from 1 species